GGCCGCUUAGUUUAGGGGCAUAAUACUCGCUUUGGGUUUCGGCACAUCUGCCUACUUCUGCGAGAGGUCAUCGGUUCGAAUCCGGUAGCGGCCC